UACAGAGGUCUCAAGCGUUGUUCGGAUUCAUUGGGCGUAAAGGGUGCGCAGGCGGUCGGGUGUGUCAGAUGUGAAAUCCCGAGGCUCAACCUCGGAACUGCGUCUGAAACUACUCGACUAGAGUACUGGAGAGGGUAACGGAAUUCACGGUGUAGCAGUGAAAUGCGUAGAUAUCGUGAGGAACACCAGAGGCGAAGGCGGUUACCUGGACAGUUACUGACGCUCAGGCACGAAAGCAUGGGGAGCAAAAGGG
rnacentral:rRNA from 1 species